rnacentral:lncRNA from 1 species
CCAGUUGCAGGAAAGCAAGUUACAGGAAAGCAACUGGGUGAUCUACUUACCAAAGCAUUAAAUGGGCUUCAAAUAGAAUAUCUUUUUAGCAAAUUGGGCAUGAUAAACAUCUAUGCUCUAUACUCCAAUUUGAGGGGCAAUGUUAGAGUGUGAAUAUAAUCUAGAGAUUACAUAAUCAUAGGCUAAUUAAUACUAAUUGAUGAUACUUGUUGAGAUUAUUUCUGUAAAUAGCCUAAAUUUGUACUGAUAAUUAGGGAUAUGAUAGUGUGAUAUGAUUGGGAUAUGAUUAGGGUAUAAUUAGGGAAUUAAUUUAUUUUCUUACCUAGUAUGUACUUAUAAGUAGUAUAUAUAUCCCAAUUGGCUUGAGGGGGAUAAUUAAGUAUUUUCUCUCAAAUCUUCUGCUCUCUUUUUCUUCUUUUCAUCAAAGGUUUCAUGGUAUCGAGCCAAGAAACUUGGUUUGCCACUCAAAGAUCUCCCACCUUACUUUGGUGACUUUCUGGAAAUCAGUUAGUCUCAUCACCCAGCUCAUUUUUCACGCCAGCAUCCGAUCUACUUCCUGGUGAAGCACUGCCUGCAAAUCCGGCCUCACGCGCCGCCCCAACCAACCCGUCUCCUGCCACGCGCCGAUGCGCGCACCCUUUUCCGACAAUCGUUUCACGCCGGUGAUUCUUCCUCCAGCCUCACCCGGCGCCGACGACUCCAGCCCAGCAGGUUCAAUCACCUGUUCAGCCCGCCUUCACACGCCCUCCAGCCACGCGCGGAUGCGUGUACCAUCUUCCGACGACCGUUUCACGCCGGCGACUCUUUCUCUAGCAUCGCCCGACGACGACGACUCUAACCCAGUAGGUUCAAUCGCUUACCUAGCCCGUCUAACGUCGGAUUUGCUGUUCACGAGCGCAAAUCCUUAUUUUUUGGCAGAUUCAGUCUCCAUGGCCCAAUCAAAUAUUGCGCAUUCUAGUAAUUCUUUUACUUAUCUAACCAAGUCUUUACCCAUUGGUUCAUGGAUCCUUGACUCUGGUGCUUCUGGUGCUUCUGAUCAUAUCUCUGGUAAUCCCUCUCUUUUCUCUACUCUUGUUUCACCUUCCACACCAUCUAGACUCACAUUAGCUAAUGAUUCACAAACUCAAGUUAAAGGGAUCGAUAACGUAUAUCUCCUUCCUUCUAUCCCUUUGACUAAUGUUUUAUUUACCUCUGACUGUCCAUACAACCUAAUCUCUGUUAGCAAAUUGACUAAAGAUUUUCACUGUUCAGUCAUCUUCACUACUGAAUCUGUGCUUGUGCAAGACCGGAAUACUGGAAAGAUGAUUGGAGCAUGAUAUGAAUCACAAGGAUUGCACUAUUUUUCCACUUCUAACUCUCUGCUUGCUUUUGUGUCUUCCACCCCCGCUGAACUCAUUUAUAGUCGUUGGGAACAUCCAAGUCUGAACAAGUUACAAAAACUGGUUCCUAGCCUCUCUUCCUUGCCAUCUUUAGAAUGUGAGUCUUGUCAACUCGGGAAGCAAACUCGAGAGUCUUUUCCCAAGCGAAUCAAUAAUAGGGCCAGUUCUAUGUUUGACAUUGUUCAUUCAGAUAUUUGGAGUCCAAGUCGGGUUAGUACAACUCCGAGAUUUCAAUAUUUUGUUACCUUUAUUGAUGAGUAUUCUCGUUGCACUUGGCUUUUUUUGAUGAAAAAUCAUUCUGAUUUGUUCCCUAUUUUUCAAAAGUUUUAUGCUGAAAUCCAUAAUCAAUUUGGUGUUUGCAUUAAGAUAUUGCGAAGUAAUAAUGCAAGAGAAUAUUUGUCUUCCUUGUUCACUCAUUUCACUCAUUUCUUGCAUUAAGAUAUUCCGCCCAGUUGUCUCUGCAUGUUUUCAGAUGUAUAUGCUUUGUUCAUGAUCAUACUCCUGGCAAAGACAAAUUCUAACCCAAAUCAGUUAAAUGUGUCUUUCUCGGCUAUUCACGGCUUCAAAAAAAUUACAAAUGCUAUAAUCCUACUAUUAACAUAUAUUUUGUGUCUGCAAGUGUCACCUUUUUUGAAACCUCUCAUUACUUUUCUUCUAGUCCAACACACAAAACUUUUGUCCCUAGCGCUUUCCUUGUACCUCCGACUCCUAUUUCUUCUUUGCCGCAAGUGUCCAUCUCCCACUUCUAUGCCAACUCUUCAAGUCUAUACACGUCGGUCUCACCCAUCUGCUAAUAACAAUGACAUUUCUCUCCCUAAUGCAGGUACUUCUAAUGACUUACCUCCUGUUCCGUCAUCACCUACUUCGGUCAUGAUUUCAACAACAGCAGCUACUCCUCCUCUUGCUCUUCGAAAAGGUAUUCGCUCUUCCCGAAAUCCUCAUCCCAUUUAUAAUUUUAUGAGUUACCAUCAUUUGACUCCUUCCUAUUAUAUUUUUGUCUCUGUUGUGCUGUUGUUUCCAUACCCAAGACAGUUAGAGAAGCUAAUAUCAUCCUAGUUGGUGUAAUGCCAUGGUUGAAGAAAUGAAUGCUCUGCAUAACAAUGGAACUUGGGAACACUGUUGGUUGUCGAUGGGUUUACACAGUUAAAGUGGGACCUGAUGGCAAAAUUGAUCGCCUUAAAGCUCCUUGUAGCUAAAGAUUACACAGAUUUUUAGGCUUGAUUACAGUGAUACUUUCUCUCCCGUAGCCAAAAUAGCUUCUGUUCGCCUCCUUAUCUCAUUGGCUGCAAUUAAUCACUGGACCCUGCAUCAACUGGAUAUUAAAAAUGCCUUUCUUCAUGGAGAGCUCGCUGAAGAAGUUUAUAUGGAGCAAUCUCCAGGGUUUGUUGCUCAGGAGGAGUCAGGCUUAGAAUGUCAUCUUCGGCGCUCUUUGUAUCGGCUAAAACAGUCUCCAAGAGCAUGGUUUGAACGAUUUAGCACUGUAGUUCAACAGUUGGAAAUGUCUCGAAAUAAUUCUGAUCAUUCUGUAUUUUUUCAAUAUAAUGGUGAUAGAUGCAUCUAUUUAGCGGUUUAUGUUGAUGAUAUUAUCAUUACAGGAAAUGAUCAUGAUGGAAUCUCUAAGCUUAAGCAACAUUUGUUCAGUCAUUUUCAAACUAAAGAUAUGGAAAAAUUGAAAUAUUUCUUAGGAAUUGAAGUGGCAUAGUCUAAAACAAGUAUUGCAAUUUCUCAACGGAAAUAUACUUUGUAUAUAUUAGAAGAAACAGGCAUGUUAGACUGUAAACAUGUGGACACUCCCAUGGAUCCAAAUGUUAAGCUUGUUCCUGAAUAGGGGGAGCCACUUAAAAAUCCUACUAGAUACAGAAAAUUAAUCGGCAAGCUCAAUUAUCUCACUAUCACACGACCAGAUGUUUCCUUUGCUGUAAGUGUGGUUGGUCAAUUUCUUCAAACUCUAUAAAGUAGUCACUGGGAUGCAAUCAUUUGCAUUCUUAGAUAUAUCAAAGGAGCUCCAAGACAGGGUAUACUCUAUGAGGACAAGGGUCACUCACAAAUUGUUGGCUAUUCUAAUUCAGAUUGGGCAGGUUCCCCUUUAGAUAGACAAUCUACUUCGGGAUAUUGUAUUAUGAUUGGAGGGAAUAUCCUAGAAAAGUAAAGAACAGAGUGUGGUUGCAAGAUCAAGUGCAGAAGCAGAAUAUUGAGCUAUGGCUUUAGCAACAUGCGAACUCAUCUGGUUGAAACAACUCCUUCAGGAAUUAAAAUAUAGCGAUACUGGCCAAAUGAAGUUGAUAUGUGAUAAUCAAGUUGCCCUCCAUAUUGCAUCAAAUCCAGUUUUUCAUGAGAGGACGAAGCAUAUAGAGGUGGAUUGCCAUUUUAUUAGGCAAAAGAUUGAGUCUGGAUGCAUUUCUACUAGUUUUGUCAACUCAAAUGAUCAGCUAGUUAAUGUUUUCACAAAAUCACUUCGAGGACCACGAAUCGAGUAUAUUUGUAACAAGCUAAGAGCAUAUGAUAUGCACGCUCUAGUUUGAGGGGGAGUGUUGAGAUUAUUUCUGUAAAUAGCCUAGAUUUGUACUGAUAAUUAGGGAUAUGAUAGUGUGAUAUGAUUGGGAUAUGAUUAGGGUAUAAUUAGGGAAUUAAUUUAUUUUCUUACCUAGUAUGUACUUAUAAGUAGUAUAUAUAUCCCAAUUGGCUUGAGGGGGAUAAUUAAGUAUUUUCUCUCAAAUCUUCUGCUCUCUUUUUCUUCUUUUCAUCAAAGGUUUCAAUACUAAUUGAUUGAUAAAGGAUUCUUAGGAGUUGCCUUAACAAUGUCUUGUAAUUUAUAUAUAAACACAUACUUUAAUAGAGGAGACACAAGAUUAUCUAAUUGCUCCUUGUCUUGUUACACAUAUCAUUCAGAACACAGAAUUCGAGAUUACCUCUUCUUGCUCAUUAUUCUCCCCCUUCUCCCUCCAAAGAGAUGAGUUCUCAGAAGGUAAUAUUCAUACUGACAAAGUAUUUCCAUAGAUGGAGAGUGAUAACACUCAUAUCCCUUCUAUGUUGAAAAAUACCCAACAAAUAUACAUUUAGAGCUUUGGGGUUGAACUUUUCCACCGUCCUAAUAUGGACAAAGCAAACACACCCAAAUACUUUUGGUAGAACAAUGUAUGAAUUCUUUCCUUAUAGAAACUCUAAAGGACUCAUAAAAUCAAAGGUCUUGGGAGCAUUCUACUGAUAAAAUAAGCAGAUGCAAGCCAUCUCCCCAGUAUGCAGAUGCAAGCCAUCUUCCCAGUAUGCUUUGCGUAGGUUCAUAGUGAACAUAAGAGAUUGAUCUACCUCCAAUAGAUGCCUGUUUUUACUUUCAGCAAUACCAUUUUGUGCACUAAUAUAACCAUUUUGUGGAUUAAUAUAAGGAAAAUUUGUCUAAUGUACUAUAUUAUUGGACUCCAAAUAAGCAAAAAACCUACUAUCCAUAUAUUUUCUUCCAUCGUCAAUUCUCGAAAUUUUCACCUUAGUAUCAAAUUGAAUACAGAUCAUCUUGUGAAAGAUUGAAAAUAAAAAAAAGACAUCACUUUUAGCUUUAAUCAAAUAUAUUCAUGUCAUUCGAAUGCAACAACCAAUAAAAAUGACAAACCAUUGAAACCAUCAAUUACCAGAUAAAGAAACAAUUUGAGUUGGUCUCCAAACAUCAAAAUGAAUAGUCACAAUAGGAAUUUAACUUUUAUAAUGACUCAAAGGAUAGGAGGUUCUAACGUGCUUAGCAUACUCACAAUAUCACAAAAUAAAGAACUAAAGUGAGUUAUAGCAAAUAAACUAGAAUAAGGUUUUUCUAAGACAAAAAAUGAUGGAUGCCUUAACUGCCCGUGCCAUUGUAUUAUUUCUUGACUGACAUUUUUAUUUUCUCCAAAACAGGCUUGAGAUAUCAGAGAACCUGGAUCACCUUUCAACAUGUAUAAGCCACUAUGCAGUUUACCAUUUCCAACCUCUCUUCCCUAUGAGAAGAUCCUGAAUAAUACAAUGAUCAGAAAAGAAUUUAAUUUUACGAGCAUUGGUGAUAACAGUUAAGAGCAUUGGUGAUAACACCGACAGAUAAAAAGUUGACAAGAAAACGAGAAAUAUAAAAGAUAAAUGAUAAUUUAAUAUUGGGUGCACAAAUAAUAGAAUUUGUUUCGGAUAUGGGAGUAAAAGAGCAAUCAGCAAUUCUGACACUGUUGCCUUUAAAACAACCAGUCAUGUAUAUAUUCGCAUCAGAAUCAAUAAUCCAUAGAAUAGUAUCAAGAGAGGAAGCAUCAUUUGAUUUUAGAAAGUUAGAUGUGGUACUAGAGGAGGAAGAGGUAUCAAUAUGAGACAAGAGGCCCUUGAGACUCAAUUUCAUCAGGGGAAAAGAACUCAGCAGCAUUGUCUCCUUAAAGGGCUCCUCCACAGUUUCUACUAAAUUAGCUUGAGUUCUAAAAGUAUCUCGUUUCCCUCACGGCCUCUAGUGGGACGACCAUGUAACUUCUAGCAAAUCUCCUUGGUAUGCCUUGGUUUUCCACAAUAGUCACAAUGCAAGUAAUCUUUCUCAGAAUUAAAAAGCUGUGGUGUGCUCAAACUAGUAGCCAACCCAGUCUUUUCAACUGGUGCAAUAUAGAGCAUAGCAUGUCGACGACUUUCCUCUUAUUGAACAUAGGCAUGAAUCUCUUCCAGUGAGGAAAAGGGUUUUUCUCUAACACUUGGACCCGAAUUGGAUUAUAUUCGUUAUUCAACCCUACAAGAAAAUCAUAGACCCACUCUUUUUUAAUCAUUUUCCGAAAUUUGAUUGCAUCUCCCGUACAAUCUGUCUGGAAGUUCUGAUAGUAAUCAAGCUCCUGCCGUAAGCCACAUAACUCAGAAUAAAAUUGGGAGAUAGUCAUUUCUCCUUACUUAGCACCAUGAAUCUUAUUACGAAUAUCAUAAAUUUGGACAUCAUUUCCAAUCUUGGAAUAAGCUAAGAACAAUGCCUCCCUUAUCUUUGCAUAAAGUUAAGUAACCAUAUCAUAACAAGAUAAUUAUCUGAAUCCCAUUGAGAAAAAUCUGGAUCACUCUCAUUUGGUUGCUUCUCAUUAUCAGUGACAUAGCCAUGCAGUCCUCUAGCCUUGAUAAACAACAAUCAAGACCUUGACCAAGCAAGAUAAUUGAUUCCGCCAAGUUGUAUGGGACUAAUUUGCAAGGAAGGGUUAUCAGAGUUAGGAACCGAUUACCUUCUACUAUGGCAAAAACAAAUGAACCGUGAAAGAAUAAGAGGUACCCAAGGUUGUACACACAAAAGAACCCAACUAAAUCACCAAACGACCAAGUAGCAGCAAGGGAUGGCCGGAAAUGGGUCGAAAACAGCGCCGGAGUGGACUGGACAACAUGGCAGCAUCGGGCAAUGUCUCGCGCCGGGAAAGAAGGGCGCGUGUGGCUUUUGAUGAAGAAAGGCCCCUAGAUAGGAUAGUACUAAAAAGGUAGAUCUAGGAUUUUUAAAACCUCAAAGAGGAAAAAUUGAAUUUAAACCCUAAAAUCAGGAAAAAGCUGAUACCAUAAAGAAUUUUAGAGUAUUCUUGUAUUUCAAUCUUGA